rnacentral:rRNA from 1 species
UGCAAGUCGAGCGGACCGACGGGAGCUUGCUCCCUUAGGUCAGCGGCGGACGGGUGAGUAACACGUGGGUAACCUGCCUGUAAGACUGGGAUAACUCCGGGAAACCGGGGCUAAUACCGGAUGCUUGUUUGAACCGCAUGGUUCAAACAUAAAAGGUGGCUUUUCGCUACCACUUACAGAUGGACCCGCGGCGCAUUAGCUAGUUGGUGGGGUAACGGCUCACCAAGGCGACGAUGCGUAGCCGACCUGAGAGGGUGAUCGGCCACACUGGGACUGAGACACGGCCCAGACUCCUACGGGAGGCAGCAGUAGGGAAUCUUCCGCAAUGGACGAAAGUCUGACGGAGCAACGCCGCGUGAGUGAUGAAGGUUUUCGGAUCGUAAAACUCUGUUGUUAGGGAAGAACAAGUACCGUUCGAACAGGGCGGUACCUUGACGGUACCUAACCAGAAAGCCACGGCUAACUACGUGCCAGCAGCCGCGGUAAUACGUAGGUGGCAAGCGUUGUCCGGAAUUAUUGGGCGUAAAGCGCGCGCAGGCGGUUUUUUAAGUCUGAUGUGAAAGCCCCCGGCUCAACCGGGGAGGGUCAUUGGAAACUGGGGGAACUGAGUGCAUAAGAGGAGAGUAGAAUUCCACGUGUAGCGGUGAAUGGCUUAGAGAUGUGGAUGAACACCAGU